AUCCUGGCUCAGGACGAACGCUGGCGGCGUGCUUAACACAUGCAAGUCGAACGAUGAAGCCUUUCGGGGUGGAUUAGUGGCGAACGGGUGAGUAACACGUGGGCAAUCUGCCCUUCACUCUGGGACAAGCCCUGGAAACGGGGUCUAAUACCGGAUAACACUCUGUCCCGCAUGGGACGGGGUUAAAAGCUCCGGCGGUGAAGGAUGAGCCCGCGGCCUAUCAGCUUGUUGGUGGGGUAAUGGCCUACCAAGGCGACGACGGGUAGCCGGCCUGAGAGGGCGACCGGCCACACUGGGACUGAGACACGGCCCAGACUCCUACGGGAGGCAGCAGUGGGGAAUAUUGCACAAUGGGCGAAAGCCUGAUGCAGCGACGCCGCGUGAGGGAUGACGGCCUUCGGGUUGUAAACCUCUUUCAGCAGGGAAGAAGCGAAAGUGACGGUACCUGCAGAAGAAGCGCCGGCUAACUACGUGCCAGCAGCCGCGGUAAUACGUAGGGCGCAAGCGUUGUCCGGAAUUAUUGGGCGUAAAGAGCUCGUAGGCGGCUUGUCACGUCGGAUGUGAAAGCCCGGGGCUUAACCCCGGGUCUGCAUUCGAUACGGGCUAGCUAGAGUGUGGUAGGGGAGAUCGGAAUUCCUGGUGUAGCGGUGAAAUGCGCAGAUAUCAGGAGGAACACCGGUGGCGAAGGCGGAUCUCUGGGCCAUUAC
rnacentral:rRNA from 1 species